GAAACAGUUGCUAAGACUGGAUAGGAAAAGUAAAGGCAUCUUUACUUUUUUAAAAGACCUUCUUUGAAGGUAUGCUUAAGGAGGGGCUUGCGACACAUUAGUUAGUUGGCAGGGUAAAGGCCUACCAAGACUAUGAUGUGUAGCUGGACUGAGAGGUUGAACAGCCACAUUGGGACUGAGACACGGCCCAAACUCCUACGGGAGGCAGCAGUAGGGAAUUUUCGGCAAUGGAGGAAACUCUGACCGAGCAACGCCGCGUGAACGAUGAAGUACCUCGGUAUGUAAAGUUCUUUUAUUAAGGAAGAAAAAAGAGUGGAAAAACUCCCUUGACGGUACUUAAUGAAUAAGCCCCGGCUAAUUAUGUGCCAGCAGCCGCGGUAAUACAUAAAGGGCGAGCGUUAUCCGGAAUUAUUGGGCGUAAAGGGUGCGUAGGCGGUUUAAUAAGUUUAUAGUUUAAUUUCAGCGCUUAACGCUGUUGUGCUAUAGAAACUGUUUUACUAGAGUGAGUUAGAGGCAAGCGGAAUUCCAUGUGUAGCGGUAAAAUGCGUAAAUAUAUGGAGGAACACCAGAGGCGUAGGCGGCUUGCUGGGACUUUACUGACGCUGAGGCACGAAAGCGUGGGGAGCAAACAGGAUUAGAUACCCUGGUAGUCCACGCCGUAAACGAUGAGUACUAAGUGUCGGGUAAAACCGGUACUGAAGUUAACACAUUAAGUACUCCGCCUGAGUAGUACGUACGCAAGUAUGAAACUUAAAGGAAUUGACGGGACUCCGCACAAGCGGUGGAUCAUGUUGUUUAAUUCGAAGAUACACGAAAAACCUUACCAGGUCUUGACAUUUUCUUGCGAAGUUAUAGAAAUAUAAUGGAGGUUAUCAGGAAAACAGGUGGUGCAUGGUUGUCGUCAGCUCGUGUCGUGAGAUGUUAGGUUAAGUCCUAAAACGAGCGCAACCCUUGUCGUUAAUUGCCAGCAUGUAAUGAUGGGGACUUUAACGAGACUGCCAAUGAAAAAUUGGAGGAAGGUGGGGAUUACGUCAAAUCAUCAUGCCCCUUAUGAUCUGGGCUACAAACGUGAUACAAUGGUUGAUACAAAGAGUAGCUGAAACGCGAGUUCUUAGCCAAUCUCAAAAAAUCAAUCUCAGUUCGGAUUGAAGUCUGCAACUCGACUUCAUGAAGUUGGAAUCGCUAGUAAUCGCGAAUCAGCAUGUCGCGGUGAAUACGUUCUCGGGGUUUGUACACACCGCCCG
rnacentral:rRNA from 1 species